GGGGUCCUACGGGGCGCAGCAGUAGGGAAUAUUGCUCAAUGGGGGAAACCCUGAAGCAGCAACGCCGCGUGGAGGAUGAAGGUUUUCGGAUUGUAAACUCCUUUUGUUAGAGAAGAUAAUGACGGUAUCUAACGAAUAAGCACCGGCUAACUCCGUGCCAGCAGCCGCGGUAAUACGGAGGGUGCAAGCGUUACUCGGAAUCACUGGGCGUAAAGAGCGCGUAGGCGGGAUAGCAAGUCAGAUGUGAAAUCCUAUGGCUUAACCAUAGAACUGCAGUUGAAUAUGUUAAUCUAGAGUAUGGGUGG
rnacentral:rRNA from 1 species